rnacentral:rRNA from 1 species
GAUGAACGCUAGCGGCAGGCCUAAUACAUGCAAGUCGAACGGUGUCUUCGGACAUAGUGGCGCACGGGUGCGUAACACGUAUGCAACCUACCUUACAUUGGGGGAUAGCCUUUCGAAAGGGAGAUUAAUACCGCAUAAGACAGUAGUCUGGCAUCAGACAGCUGUUAAAGAUUUAUCGAUGUAAGCUGGGCAUGCGUCCAAUUAGUUAGUUGGCGAGGUAACGGCUCACCAAGACUAUGAUUGGUAGGGGAACUGAGAGGUCAAUCCCCCACACUGGCACUGAGAUACGGGCCAGACUCCUACGGGAGGCAGCAGUAGGGAAUAUUGGGCAAUGGACGCAAGUCUGACCCAGCCAUGCCGCGUGCAGGAAGAAGGCGUUAUGCGUUGUAAACUGCUUUUAUACAGGAAGAAACGACUCUUGCGAGAGGCAUUGACGGUACUGUAUGAAUAAGCACCGGCUAACUCCGUGCCAGCAGCCGCGGUAAUACGGAGGGUGCAAGCGUUGUCCGGAUUUAUUGGGUUUAAAGGGUGCGCAGGUGGUUUAUUAAGUCAGUGGUGAAAGACGGUCGCUCAACGAUUGCAGUGCCAUUGAAACUGGUAGACUUGAGUAAAGUAGAGGUGGGCGGAAUUGAUAGUGUAGCGGUGAAAUGCAUAGAUAUUAUCAAGAACUCCAAUUGCGUAGGCAGCUCACUUGGCUUUU